rnacentral:lncRNA from 1 species
GGCAGACUCCAGAUUUUGGCUAAUACAAAUAAAAUUCCUGUGAACAUUCGUGUACAGGUUUUUGUGUGAACAAAUGUUCUCAUUUGUCUGGAAUAAAUACCCAGGAAUGCAAACGAUGGUACAUACAGUAAUUGCAUACUUAGUUUUAUAAGAAACUGCCUCUUUUCCAGAAUGGCUGUGCCAUUUCACAUCUAUACCAGCAAUAUAUGAACAAUCUAGUUUCUCUGCAUCCUUGUCAGCAUGUGGUAUCAUCACUAUUUAUUAUUUUAGCCAUUCUGGCACUGGACAUAUAACGCUGAACAAGAUAAUUAUGGGACUUGAACUCUAGAAUUGCAAAUGCUGAUCAACACUAUGAAGGGACUGCAGCAUUGAGAUGACAAGGGGGAGCCAAAACCAUGUUUCUCAAACUUGUCUACACCUUGAAAUCACCUAGAGAGUUUUAAUGCUGAUGCCCCGGUUCUACUCCUAGAGACUCAGAUUUAAUUGGCAUGACAUGCAACCUAGAUUGGAUUUUCUGAAAGCUGCAAGAUGAUUCUAAUGGAGCAAAGUUUGACAACCACAGUCACCAAACAAAUGCUUCCUUCACAAAGGUCAAGAAGAAGAUAACCAGCACCUCAGAAGCUCUCUUCAUACACCCCUCAACCACUACUCACUGGAUUUGUUUGGCCUAUUUUCAAACAUUGUAUCUAUAAAAUCAUAUAGUAUGCAUUACUUCGUUUUGCUUUUCCAUUCCACAUUAUGUUUGUGAGAUAUAUCAAUGUGACCGUAGGUGGUAGUAGUUUGACCUAUUUCAUUGUUAUAUAGUAUUUCAUCUUAUGCCUAUACCAUGAUUUAUCUAUUCUUCUCUUGAUUAACAUGUAACUUGUUUUCAGUUUGGGAACAGUAUAAAGUUAUGUUGCUAUAAAACAUUUUUACAUGGCUUCUGGCACUACUAAGUACUAUUCAUUGUUGACUCUAUAACAUGGAGUAUUCAUUGCUGGGCCACAGGGUGUGUGUAUGUUUAACUUUAGUUACUACUGUCAAUUCCUUUUCAAAAGUGGUUGUACAGGUACCAAAUUUGUUCUCACACCAGCCAUUUAUGCAGAAUCCAGUGACUCCAUAUCUUUGCCAACACUUGGUAUCUCAUUAUGGUUUUAAUUUUCCUGUUCCUAAUCACUAAUGAAAUUAAGUUUUUUUUUUUUAAGUACCAACACUACUUUAACAGAAUUGACUUUCUGAUAUCAUUGAUUUAUCUUUAUCUAGAACUGCUCUUCAUGGUAGGCAACUCACUAGUUGAUGCCCUUAAAACUUUUCCUUAGAGAGUACAGAUUUUUAAUCUAAAAAUUAGCAAGUGUGUUAUAUGGACAUUUUCUUUGUGUAACAACAACACAGGUAAAAAUAAACAACUUUCUAAAUAUUAAUACCACUUUUAAAAGCUAUUCUGAAAUUCUUUAUCCUUACAAGUAUUUGGUGAAAAGGUGAGGUAAUUUUAUUGGCAUAAAUGUAUAUCUCAUAAUUAUCAACAAACAAAAUGAAUUCCAACUGUAAUACUCAGACACGUUUUGCAUGAAAAGUAACCUGGAAUGGCAAAUGCAAUAGUAUCUCCUUAUUUUUUAGGCCAUUAAAAAUCAUUGCUGGCUGGGCGCAGUGGCUCAUGCCUGUAAUCCAGCACUUUGGGAGGCCGAGGCAGGUGGAUCACCUGAGGUCGGGAGUUCAAGACCAGCCUGGCCAACAUGGUGAAACCCCGUCUCUACUAAAAAUACAAAAAUUAGCCAGGCUUGGUGGUGCAUGCCUGUAGUCCCAGGUACUCGGGAGGCUGAGGCAGGAGAAUCACUUGAACCCAGGAGGCAGAGGUUGCAGUGAGCUGAGAUGGAGCCAUUACACUCCAGCCUGGGUGACAGAGCGAAACUCUGUCUCAAAAAAAAAAAAGAAAAAAUAAUUGCCACUUCCACCCACAUCAUCAAUGAAGAAGGGCAGCAACAAAUUCGGCUACAUAAAGAUGACAAAUAUACAAAGGACAGCCUGUGAGAAGGGACAGGUUUAGAUUUUUGGCUUCAUGCUCAGGUUUCAUAUUUUCCAAUUUGAAUUUCUACUGAUUUUGAUAUCCUUUUUAUGUUCUGAUUAGGCAGAUUAAAUAUGUCUAUAAAGAAUUUUCCAGAUACAUGAUAUUACAUAAGAUCAUAAUAAAAUUAUUUGAAGACACCGG